AAGUGUUACAGCUCUUUUAGAAUUUGUCUAGCAGGUUUUCCGGUCCUCACUGCAAGACCUCC
ensembl:snRNA U7 U7 small nuclear RNA